UGGGCAGGGCUGCAGGGCCAGGAAAGGACGUCUGAAGGUCUGCCUGACGACGGUGACAGAAGCAUCUGGCAGGGGAUAGUCCGAACCCCAGCUCGCUGCUCACAAUGGCCAUAAGCACCAGCACCAGGAACAUCAUGGGACACACUGAGAGGCUGAAGGAAAACAGAAAGCGUACCACCCUGCCCCGGCUUAGAGGCCAGGCCGUGCUCAUGCACACGCGUCUCCCUCUGUGCACCAACGUACCCUGGGACCCCGCGGCACCAGCCUCCGAGGGCUGCUCCUGUCAGUAAACACAUCCAUCUCCAGUGCACCUGCCAGGCGCUUGUGGAUUAUCAGUAAACACUC
rnacentral:lncRNA from 1 species